AUGGGCGACUUCAACUAUCCUGAUAUCUGCUGGAAAACAAACUCGGCCAAGAGCACAAAGUUCAACAAAUUCCUCACUUGCCUUGCAGACAAUUUUAUGGUCCAGAAUGUAGAGGAGGCAACAAGGGGAUCAGCAACUCUUGAUCUAAUCUUAACAAAAGUGGAAGACCUGAUCAAUACAGUAGAAGUCGUCAGAUCCUUAGGGGCAAGUGACCAUGUGCUCCUGCAGUUUGUGAUACAAUGGAAGGCUGAAACUAAGACAAGUCAAACACGCAUUCUGGACUUUAAGAGAGCUGACUUCCAAAAAAUGAAGGAAAUACUGAGCGGCAUUCCAUGGACGCCAAUAUUAAAAGACAAGGGAGUUAACGAUGGAUGGGAGUUUUUUAAAAGUGAAAUACUCAAGGCCCAAAUGCAAACAGUGCCAACAAAGAAAAAAAAUAUGGCACGUGCGAAGAAGCCAGAAUGGAUGUCCAAAGAACUUCUAACUGAGCUAAAACUCAAAAGUGACAUGCACAAGAAGUGGAAAAGGGGAGAAAUCACCAAAGAAGAAUUCAAACGUAUAGCCAACUCCUGUAGGGAAAUGGUUCGCAAGGCUAAAGCGCAAAAUGAGCUCAGGCUUGCCAGGGACAUAAAAAACAACAAAAAGGCUUUUUUUGCUUACGUUGGUAGAAAAAGGAAGAAAAAGGAGGCGAUAGGGCCUCUGCGAGGAGAAGAUGGGGUGAUGGCGACAGGGGACAGGGAAAAGGCAGAACUGCUUAAUGCCUUUUUUGCCUUGGUCUUCUCACAAAAAGAAAGCCAUCUUCAACCUCAGCAACAUGAAAUGGACGAAGGAUUUGGGGAAAUCCAACCCCAAAUAGGAAAACAAGUUGUCCAGGAACACCUGGCCACUCUAAACGAAUUGAAGUCGCCAGGACCAGAUCAUCUACAUCCAAGAGUACUGAAGGACCUAGCGGAAGUUAUUUCAGAACCACUGGCAAUCAUAUUUGAGAGUUCUUGGAGAACGGGAGAAGUCCCAGCAGAUUGGAGGAGGGCAAAUGUGGCCCCUAUCUUCAAGAAGGGAAAAAAGAACGACCCCAACAAUUACCGUCCAGUCAGCCUCACGUCGAUACCAGGCAAGAUUCUGGAAAAGAUCAUUAAGGAAGUGGUCUGA
rnacentral:lncRNA from 1 species